rnacentral:rRNA from 1 species
CCUACGGGGGGCUGCAGCUAAGAAUAUUCCGCAAUGGACGAAAGUCUGACGGAGCGACGCCGCGUGGACGACGAAGGCCGAAAGGUUGUAAAGUCCUUUUGCCGAUGAAGAAUAAGUGGGGGAGGGAAUGCCCUCACGAUGACGUUAGUCGGUGAAUAAGCCCCGGCUAAUUACGUGCCAGCAGCCGCGGUAACACGUAAGGGGCGAGCGUUGUUCGGAAUUAUUGGGCGUAAAGGGCGCGUAGGCGGUACUGCAAGCCCGGCGUGAAAACCAGGGGCUUAACUUCUGGCUUGCGCUGGGAACUGCGGUACUAGAGUCACGGAAGGGGAGCUGGAAUUCCAGGUGUAGGGGUGAAAUCUGUAGAUAUCUGGAAGAACACCGGUGGCGAAGGCGAGCUUCUGGCUGAUGACUGACGCUGAGGCGCGAAAGCGUGGGGAGCAAACAGGAUUAGAUACCCGAGUAGUC